UCUGGCUCUGUAUGUGAGCAUCUGGUUUCGUUAUACUUUGCUUGUCGAAACUGUUUUUUCUUUCAAGCUGGUUCAUUAAUCAUGGCUUCUAAUACGAAUGCUGGUACCUCCUCCUCAGUAGCCUCUACCAGGUUUCGUUAUCCUUUGCUUGUCGAAACUGUUUUUUCUUUCAAGUCGGUUCAUUAAUCAUGGCUUCCAAUACGAAUGCUGGUACCUCCUCCUCAGUAGACUCUACCAGCCCCCUUUUUGUAUACUCCUUUGAUGUCCCUGGGGUCUGUCUUGUCCCCACUCCCUUCUCGGGAAGUGGUUAUGGGGGUUGGAGGAGAAAACUGAUUGUUGCAUUAUCUGCUAAAAAUAAAAUUGGUUUUGUUGAUGGCACAUGCUCCCGACCAGCCAUUAAUGUGUCUCAACAAAGGUUAUGGGAUAGGUGCAAUAACAUGGUGAUUUCUUGGUUAACUGCCUCACUCUCCCCUCAAAUUGCUGAAAG
rnacentral:lncRNA from 1 species